GUAGGAGAAAGUGCAGAGUCACCAUGUGAGCCUGGAAAGACAGGACGCUUGUUGAUGACAUUCAAUAAGCAGUGGGACCUGGCAAAACAAGGGAAAAUCCAGCAAUACUCCUGCCUCCAGAAUCUUGCCCUAUUUGAGUUCCUGUCCUGACUUCCUUCAGUGAUGAACAGCAACAUAAAAGUCCUUCAUCCAGCAGCUGGUGGAAGUAGAAGUAGACACUCACAGCUAAACACUGAACUGAACUGGAAUCCAGUUGCAGAGAAGGAGGAAUGAUGAGCAAAGUGGACAAGACCUUGCUGGUGAAAUCCACAGAAACAGCUGACCUGAACAAGGUGGAACUCUUGGCCCCCAGACUGAUCAUGGGAAACCAGCAUAGGACUGAUCCAGACCCCAUGAAUGUGGGUGUCAGGGAGGAGGCCUCUGAAAUCUAUGGGGCCUCUUGUAGUAGAUCAGUACUUAUCCCUAGCAUAGGAAUGGACUUUGGGAGCCCAUUUCACAUAGAGGGAUACUCCCUCAGCCUAGACACACAGGGGAGGAGGGCCUAGGCCCUAUCCCAAAGGAUAUGACAGACUCUGAAGAGAUCCCCUAUGGAAGGCCUCACCCUCCCUGGGGAGCAGAAAUGGUAUGGAAUAGGUAGGGUGUUUAUUGGGGGGCAGGGGAGGAGAAGAGGGAGAGGGAACUGGGAUUUACAUGUAAAACAAUAUUGUUUCUAAUUUAAAUAAAA
rnacentral:lncRNA from 1 species